ensembl:antisense Pla2g10os phospholipase A2, group X, opposite strand
GGAGCAACUGUGGCAUCUGAGAUGUUGGUCUGGGUGAGCCUGUCCAGGAGGAGAGAGGCUUCACACCUGCACCUCUGUACCCAGGUAGAUCCCCGAGGCUGGGACGUCCAGAACCCCUUUGUUUCUAAACACCAUUCUCCUGUUGUCAUCCAAUUACUGGACUCUACCAGGUAC